rnacentral:rRNA from 1 species
GGGUUGUGAGGUUAAGCGACUAAGCGUACACGGUGGAUGCCCUGGCAGUCAGAGGCGAUGAAGGACGUGCUAAUCUGCGAUAAGCGUCGGUGAGGUGAUAUGAACCGUUAUAACCGGCGAUUUCCGAAUGGGGAAACCCAGUGUGUUUCGACACACUAUCAUUAACUGAAUCCAUAGGUUAAUGAGGCGAACCGGGGGAACUGAAACAUCUAAGUACCCCGAGGAAAAGAAAUCAACCGAGAUUCCCCCAGUAGCGGCGAGCGAACGGGGAGGAGCCCAGAGCCUGAAUCAGUGUGUGUGUUAGUGGAAGCGUCUGGAAAGGCGUGCGAUACAGGGUGACAGCCCCGUACACAAAAAUGCACAUAUUGUGAGCUCGAUGAGUAGGGCGGGACACGUGGUAUCCUGUCUGAAUAUGGGGGGACCAUCCUCCAAGGCUAAAUACUCCUGACUGACCGAUAGUGAACCAGUACCGUGAGGGAAAGGCGAAAAGAACCCCGGCGAGGGGAGUGAAAAAGAACCUGAAACCGUGUACGUACAAGCAGUGGGAGCCUCUUAAUGGGGUGACUGCGUACCUUUUGUAUAAUGGGUCAGCGACUUAUAUUCUGUAGCAAGGUUAACCGAAUAGGGGAGCCGAAGGGAAACCGAGUCUUAACUGGGCGUUAAGUUGCAGGGUAUAGACCCGAAACCCGGUGAUCUAGCCAUGGGCAGGUUGAAGGUUGGGUAACACUAACUGGAGGACCGAACCGACUAAUGUUGAAAAAUUAGCGGAUGACUUGUGGCUGGGGGUGAAAGGCCAAUCAAACCGGGAGAUAGCUGGUUCUCCCCGAAAGCUAUUUAGGUAGCGCCUCGUGAAUUCAUCUCCGGGGGUAGAGCACUGUUUCGGCAAGGGGGUCAUCCCGACUUACCAACCCGAUGCAAACUGCGAAUA